rnacentral:rRNA from 1 species
CAAUGGCAGGUACAGAGGGCAGCUACCCAGCAAUGGGAUGCGAAUCUCGAAAGCCUGUCUCAGUUCGGAUUGGAGGCUGAAACCCGCCUCCAUGAAGUUGGAUUCGCUAGUAAUCGCGCAUCAGCCAUGGCGCGGUGAAUACGUUCCCGGGCCUUGUACACACCGCCCGUCAAGCCAUGGGAGCCGGGGGCGCCUGAAGUCCGGGACCGCGAGGACCGGCCUAGGGCGAAACUGGUAACUGGGGCUAAGUCGUAACAAGGUAAC